UUUGCAUUUCAAAAUCCUUUCGCUGCCUGGAUUUUAAAGAUGCCCAGGCAACAGAGACGGCUCAAUCUAAGCAAUCCCCUCUGAGCGCCAGCUAACCUAGCCAACCUACAGUAUGUGGUGGAUAUUUCCUGUUAAAUCGCCCUCGGCUGAGCACCAGGAUUGCUAUGGGCUUCAAUUCCUUGAACCCUUUAUACCUGGUGCUUUUCAGGAACUCUCACACUUUAUGCUGUGGUCGAGGCUUUGAGGUAGAGACGACACCGUAAAUCUAAAAGAUAGAUGACCCCUGCCUUUGAGAAGUUGACAUACCAGUAAGCUACAUGGACUCUCGGUACCCUCAUCGCUAGAUACUGAGAGUCCAAAACCGGUUUGGCUUUUUUUUUUUCUUUUUUUUCUUUUUUCUUUUCCUGGGGACUAUUCCAAGGUUGCGAAAACCAACCCUUCUCGAUAACAGAGACUUCCUUAGUCAGACCUAGUGUGUUUAUUAUGUUAAGACUAGUAUCCACAUGACCUGAGAGUAAACGAGUGAUCGAUCUCUCUCCGUCAUCCAGGUUUCAUCUCUUAAUUCCUAUGAUUGCUCCAUACUCCAGUGGGAUCAUGCCACACAGCAGAAAAUAUGGCAAUCAAGUGCUUUGACAUCACCAUACCUUCAUGAAUCUUGGUUGAAGAAAGGCAAUAGUAUCGUCAUACUCACAGUUCUUGUAAGAAUACCAGAUAUGUGUCCAACCCUAGGGAUGGGCUGGGAAGAUGUGAGCCUCACACUGGUGAAAGAGACAAGAUGGGGAUGGUGAAAAGAUAUUAUAAGGCCAUGAAUGAAUAUCAAAAAAUGUACUGGAAGAAAGUAGAAAAGAGGAGAUCUAAAGCUUUGUGACAGUAUUUAUAAGAAAUGAUGAACUCACAUACUAAGACGGCAUUCUUGUGAUGUUAUAAUCUCACACAUUCAAAACAAACUAUGGUGAAGAAAAGAAAAAGACCUAGAGGGGCCUGCGGAGGGAAAGUGACUGAGCCAAACUGUGAAUGGACAUGAUGAAACUAUCCCAGUCAGUGAGAAUGUUGAAAGCCUUGAUAGAUGUUCAUGUCUCAUAAACACAUCUAUUUGAAAUUACAUGUUUCAGUAUGUGUCAAUUUUACAUCUAAUGUAAAAAGCAAGAUGUAGCAUAGCUGGAAGUAUGGGGUAAUAGGAACGAUGUAAGAAUUAGCAAUGGAAAGAUUCUGGUAGUUGUUGGAUUUGGAUGGCGGACACAGAAGCUCAUUAAAUUCCUUGUUUACUUUAUAUAAAUGUAUAUAUUUAAAUUUUCCUUAAGAACACAUAUUUUAAAGCAAAGAAAUUCAAAACUAUGUAGUAACUACCAUGAAGUCUAUAGGAACUAAGUGCUGUGGCACCGCAUAACCUGAAACCGUUCCUUGCUAAGGAAGUGGAGGUAUGGGCAAAGUGAAAGAAUCGCUCUUGGAACAGGUAUCCCAUGCGUGUGACACUGAACUUGAGAUUUGAAGUCAAAGAAGCCAUGAAAGUGCCCUGAAGACCCAGUGGUGGUCAGAGAACACUAUGGUACUUUGAGGGCAAAUGACAGAGGAGCAGAUAAUGGACAAUGAUUUGUGCUCAUAGGAAAUACUCCUUUCCUCAUAGUGUUCAUAGCAGCAGUGUAAACAGGACAUAGGGGUCCCAGGCAGGACAUGCACAGGGCAUGUAAUCUUGAGUAAUCUAAGUAAGAUGUAACCCUUUGCUGCUCUAACUUUCCUAACAAUCAAAUGAAAAAA